UACGGGGGGGUAAGCGUUGUUCGGAAUUACUGGGCGUAAAGGGCUCGUAGGCGGCCAACUAAGUCAUACGUGAAAUCCCUCAGCUUAACUGGGGAACUGCGUGUGAUACUGGAUGGCUUGGAUUUGGGAGAGGGAUGCGGAAUUCCAGGUGUAGCGGUGAAAUGCGUAGAUAUCUGGAGGAACACCGGUGGCGAAGGCAGGUCUCUGGGCAUUAACUGACGCUGAGGAGCGAAAGCAUGGGGAGCGAACAGG
rnacentral:rRNA from 1 species